UACGGAGGGGGCUAGCGUUGUUCGGAAUUACUGGGCGUAAAGCGCACGUAGGCGGCUUUGUAAGUUAGAGGUGAAAGCCCAGGGCUUAACCCUGGAAUUGCCUUUAAGACUGCAUCGCUAGAAUCGUGGAGAGGUGAGUGGAAUUCCGAGUGUAGAGGUGAAAUUCGCAGAUAUCAGGAGGAACACCGGUGGCGAAGGCGGGUCUCUGGACAAUACCUGACACUGAGGCACGAAAGCUAGGGGAGCAAACAGG
rnacentral:rRNA from 1 species